rnacentral:rRNA from 1 species
CCUACGGGGUGCAGCAGUCGAGAAUCAUUCACAAUGGGGGAAACCCUGAUGGUGCGACGCCGCGUGGGGGAAUGAAGGUCUUCGGAUUGUAAACCCCUGUCAUGUGGGAGCAAAUUAAAAAGAUAGUACCACAAGAGGAAGAGACGGCUAACUCUGGGCCAGCAGCCGCGGUAAUACAGAGGUCUCAAGCGUUGUUCGGAAUCACUGGGCGUAAGGCGUGCGGAGGCUGUUUCGUAAGUCGUGUGUGAAAGGCGCGGGCUCAACCCGCGGACGGCACAUGAUACUGCGAGACUAGAGUAAUGGAGGGGGAACCGGAAUUCUCGGUGUAGCAGUGAAAUGCGUAGAUAUCGAGAGGAACACUCGUGGCGAAGGCGGGUUCCUGGACAUUAACUGACGCUGAGGCACGAAGGCCAGGGGAGCGAAAGGGAUUAGAUACCCCGGUAGUC